rnacentral:rRNA from 1 species
UACGUAGGGCGCAAGCGUUAUCCGGAAUUAUUGGGCGUAGAGAGCUCGUAGGCGGUUUGUCGCGUCUGCCGUGAAAGUCCGGGGCUCAACUCCGGAUCUGCGGUGGGUACGGGCAGACUAGAGUGAUGUAGGGGAGACUGGAAUUCCUGGUGUAGCGGUGAAAUGCGCAGAUAUCAGGAGGAACACCGAUGGCGAAGGCGGGUCUCUGGGCCGUAACUGACGCUGAGGAGCGAAAGCAUGGGGAGCGAACAGG